AAAGCCACAGUGGCAAUAGCUAGUAAUAUACCGAAGUACAGUCACGAUACUUCAACUCUUUCUCUCUCACUCUCUCAUUCAUCGAUUCAUCUGUGUGUGUAUCCACGGCAUCUGUGGAUCAUCUGUGAAGUCAUGAUGGGCGGAUACAGCUCAUAGAUAUGCCGUCUCCUGUGGAGCAAUUGACGUAUCGAGGGAAGAGUUUCAUACACCGAUUAAAAUUCGAGGGAUGCCUAGACUAGCUGAAGAGUCUUUGUUUAGAGCUGAGUGAUGAAUGUUCUACAUCUUCAAGUACAACGUGCGACAUCUAACAGCAGAAGAUGGAAGCACAUACAAUUCUGUCAGUCAGAUUAUCAAACUGAAAGUAUUUUCAGUUGAAUAGUUUUACUCGUAUUCCAGUAUUUUGACAGUUUUUUUUUUUUACAUUUUAGCAUGACUUUAUUACUUAGACAUUGCAGACCCAAAUUUAAAUUUCGAUACUUAAUUGUUGGAAAAUAUUGUACAACUUGAAAAAAAUAAAAAAAUGCAGAAUUCUACCAGACGUUAAUUUCACAUAUAAAAAAAUAAUCCUAUGUACAAUAUCAUUUUAAUGAGUGCGAAUAUUCAUCAUUGUUUUCAAUUUUUCUCCCGGAA